ACAGACCAGGAGAUCGUGACCUGAGCCGAAGUCAGCUCAACCGACUGAGCCACCCAGGUGCCUCUCAGUUUUGUCUUAUUUGAUUCAUGCUUAUUUGGUCCUCUCUAAGAAAAUUCUGCCUGUCCCGAAGUCUCCACAAUAUUCUUCUAUAUUUCCUUCAUAGUUUUAGCUUUACAUUGAGUUCUUUGGUCUAUCUCAAAUUAAUUUCUCACCCUUUCUGUGGAUCAGGAAUCUGAGUGGCUUAGCUGGUAAUGGUUCUAGCUCAGAGUCUUUUGUGGUGUUGCAGUCAGUUGGGGCCGCAGUCAAAUGAAGGCUUGGCUGGGACUGAAGGAUCUGCUUCCAAGAUGGUGCCCUCACACAGCCGUUGGCUGGAGGCCUCAGCUCCUCAGAACUCUGCCAUGUGAGCCUCUCCAUAGGGCCGCUUAUGUGUCCUCAGAACAAGGCCGCUAACUUUCCCCAGGACAGGCGAGCCACAAGAGAGCGAGGGGGAGUCUGCAGUAUCUUUUAUGACGCAUUUAGGAGUCCCCUGCCAUGGCUUCUGUUCAUUAGAGAGGUGACCACAUUACCCACCCCACAUGUGCAGCACACAGAAUGGCGCUCCGCUCUUGAAGUGGGGGGGGGGGGGUUGAAACAUAAAAACGGGAACAUAUUCUAUAGCUGCCACAGUUACAUUAAGUGAACUUUACAACUGUGAUCAUCCCUGAUGGGUCUGAUUGUGAGCCAACAUCUGAGAAAUUCAAACUGAGGAAAACAUUUUACUAAACAACAGGCUUGUAAUCUUCAAAAGUCCAGAAAAGUCAAGGAAAGACUGAAAAACCGAUCCAGGUUGAAGGAGGCUAAAGAGUCAUGACCACUAGUUACAACAUGUGACUUUGAACUGGAUUUUUUACCCAAAACUCGAUCACUGGGACAGUUGGCAAAACUCAGAUGGGUUCUGAGAAAUGCAUGGUGAUGGUGUAUCGUUAAUUUCAUGAUUUUUAGGCUCGUUGUGCUAAUGGAGGAUAAUAUUCGUGCUGUUAGGAAAUGCCUGCUGACCUUCAGAGUGAUGGUUAACUUACUGCAAAGAAAGGCGUUAAAAAACAAGUGGCUUUUUUUUUUUUUUUUUUUUUUUUUUUUUUUUUACUAAUGUCAUUGAAAGACAACUGGCUGUUUGGUGUAAAGAAAGCACGAUUAACAUUGUGCUCUCGGUGCUUCUUCGCCUUCCACAGGCCCUCAGAGCCCAGGGCCCCUUCCUCUCCCCAGAUGGGGACUCCUGACUUUGGCCAGCCGCCAUACCUCACUCUGGGCCACUCCACCCCUCCACCUGAAUGGCCCACCUAACUAGCAACUGUGACAUUAAGCAGUUACUCAGGGCAGGAAGACGAAGAGGAGCAAAAAAAUUUCUUGUUAUUGGGGCACCUGGGGGGCUCAGUUGGUUGAGCGGCCGACUUCGGCUCAGGUCAUGGUCUCGCAGUUCGUGAGUUCGAGCCCUGCAUCGGGCUCUGUGCUGACGGCUCGGAGCCUGGAGCCUGCUUUGGAUUCUGUGUCUCCCUCUCUCUUCACCUCUCCCCUGCUCAUGCUCUGUCUCUCAAAAAUAAAUAAAUGUUUAAAAAAAAAAUUUUUUUUUUAAUUUCUUGUUAUUUUACACACAUACUGCCAUAUCCAUUGCUGCUCAUUCCUUCCUGGAGAAGUGAGUUUUCAUCCGACGUCAUUUCCUUUUGGCCUAAGAACUUUCUUAGUGUUUCAUGUAUCCCGGGCAACUGGCGACAGGUUCCCUCAGUUUUUGUUUAUCAGAAGACGUUGUGCCUGUACUGUAUUCUCACUUCUGAAGGGUAUUUUUGCUAGCUAAGAGAUUUCUGGGUCGAUUUUCGUUGUUACCGUUGUGUACCAUAAUGAUUCGAUACUUGUACCUAUCGUGUGCAGUAAGUUUAGUUAACACCCAUCACCACACAUAGUCACAAAAGCUUUUUUUCUCGAGAUGAGAACUUUUAAGUUACUCUCUUAGCAACUCUAAAUACACAAUACGGUAUUAUUAACUAUCGUGCCACGCCGUACGUUACAUAGUCGAAAUGGGUGAAGGUGGUCAAAAGGUACAAACUCCCCGUUGUAAAGUAAGUCCUGGGGAUUUAGUGUACAGAUUUUUCUUUCAUGAUUUUAAAUAUGUUAUUCUAUUAUAUUCUGGUCUCAUGGUUUCUGUUGAGGGGCCUAUAAUCAUCCUUAACUUUGUUACUCUAUAUGUGAUGAAUCUUUUUAUUUUGGGGCUGCUUUUAAGAUCUGCUAUCUUUUUUUUUCUCUUUUUUUCAGCAGUUCACUAUAAUAUGCUGGGUGCAUAAAAUACUCUGGAUUCAUUGGAUCAGAGUUUCUUAGAAUAGAAAUUUGAUUAUUUGGGACAUUUUCAGCCAUUAUUUUUAUUUUAUUUUAUUUGAGAGAGAGAGCAAGUGAAGGGGCAGAGGUGGGGGGGUGGGGGAACAGAAUCCCAAGCAGGUUCUGUGCUGUCAGUGCAGAGCCCUAUGCAGGGCUCAAACCCACCAACCAUGAGAUCGUGCCCUGAACCGAAAUCAAGAGUUGAAUGCUUAACUGACUGAGCCACCCAGACCCCCCCCAGCCAUUAUUUCUUUAAAUGUUUUGUCUCCCCCAUUCUUUUGCUCUGCCUAUGGGAUUCCAGUUGUAAGUAUAUUAACCUGUUUGAUAUGAUCUAACAGAUGACUGAGUCCUGGGGCUUCUGAGUUUGUUUUGGUUUUUUUCCAUCUUUUCCUUUGUGUUCUUAGGAUCCUGUUAUUUCUGAUCUGUCUUUAAGUUCAAGUGAUCCUUUCUUCUGUCUCUUAAGUACAUCUAGUAUAUAUUUUUACUCAAAUACUAUCCUUAAUUCUAGAGUUUCAUAGGAUUCUUUUUUAUAUUUUAUAUGCUUCGAUUCCCCAUCUGUUCACUCAAUCUGAUUCUUUUUUCUUUAAGUCCUGACUAUAUUUAUAAUAGCCUCUUUUAGAGUGCCUGUCUGCUAAUGCCAACAUCUGGAUCAGCUCAGGAUCUAUUGCUGUUCACUCUUUUCUCUUGACCUUGGGUCACGCUGCUUUGCAUAGCUAGUAUUUUUUUAUUAUAUACUGGAUACUGCAGAAGAUAGGUUGCAGAGAUCUUAGAUUCUCUUAUCUUCUGUUGAGGAGUGCUAAGUUCUGCUGGAGCAGACAGUGAAAUUAGGGAGCUCUUACACUUGGUUACGAUGGUUGUCUCGGAGUGUCGCCAUUAGCCUCAUGGCAAAUCCUUCUCCCCAGGAUAUCGUCUUUACCUCUCAGGUACCGUUUGUGGGUUUUCAUUCAGGGUGUUCUCUGGGCCCCUGUGAGUUGGCAGGAUUCAGACUCCCGGCUUUUUCCCACCCUUCCGAGAGUUGCUAUCCUUGGAAUCUCCCCCGUGUGUGUGCGCGGUUCGGAGUCAGCCGUGGAUUUGAGAUGAGUGUAUGUAUAGAUUCAAGGCUCUCCCCUCUGCAGCUCCUUCCUUUCUAGGACAUUCCCACUCUAUUUCCAGCCACAGCAGUGGCCUCCAAUGAGGUCCUCUAGCCAGGAGCACUGGUUUUCCACUUGACCAGUUGAUGGCGGUUUUUCCGGUGCAAGUUACCGGCACCACUGCUGGACUCGGAGCUCCCCAACUAGACUUUAAUUUCAGUGUAUAUUUCACCUUUCGUAUAGUUACUGAUGUCUUUCUGUUUAAACUUAUGGCUUUACACUUUGCUUUUUAUUUACCCUGCCCUAUAUUCUUUCGGAUUGAAUUUUGUUUUGUUUUGUUUUUAGUGCUAUGUUUCUCCCUUCUGUUAUCUUGGUAAUUAUACAUUCCUUUAUUAUUCUUUAAGUGUUUGCUCUAGAAAUUACUUUAUGCAUCCUUGACUUAUUUGAGUCUUAACAUAAAUUACUUUCACCACAUUUUCCAACAAUACAGGGGUCUCAAAUCUAAUUUCUCUGCUUCCUGCCUUGCAUGCUCCUAUAGUGUAUUUUAAUUCUAGAUCUCACAGGACAUUUAUUAUUGUUAUACAGUGAACAUUCCUGUUGAUUUCUUCCAUAUGUCUACUCUCUCCAUUGCUCUGCAUUCCUGAUGCAUUUCUGACCUUCCAUCUGGGAUCAUUUACUUCGUUGUGAAAAACACUAUUUUGUGUUUGCUUUAGUAUCCUCUUCUGGUACAGGGUUGUCUACCUGAAAAUGUCUUAAUUUUAAUUUAUCUUUUUUUUUUUAACUGAGCUUUUAUUUACAUGCAAUGAAAUGUGUAGUUCUGUGAAUUUUUACCUUGUGUCUGUUCACGUACCAUCGAGAUACAGAACAUUUCCGUUCCCUCAGACAGCGGCCUUCCUCGUAUACCUGCCCUGCCUCACCAGCAUAACCACGUUCUGCCUUCUGUCACCGUAGAGUACGUGGGUGUUUUGUGAACUUCAUAUAAACAGAGUCCUAUUACUUAUACUCAUUCAUGCUGCCUUCUUGUGCUCAACAUGCUGUUGUUGAGGUUUAUCCAUGUUCCUUUUUACUGCUGGCUAGUAUCCUAUUGUGUGAACGUCCCACAAUUUGUUUAUGCAGUCUCCUAGUGACGGCCAUUCAAAUAGAGUCCAGUUUUGAGCUAUGAUGAAUAAAGCGGCUGUGAAUAUCUGCAUACAGUUCUUUUUGUGGGCAUCUCCGUGUGUUACUCUUGGGCACAUACCUGAGGGUAGAAUUUCUGGUUAAUAGGCAUGUUCGUUAACCUGUCUUCGUGUAACACAUUAAUUCCCCUUACACUUAGCAGCUUAAAAAAGAAAAAAAAAGAAAAACACGAACAUGCAGCAUCUCUCACAGUUGUUGUGGGUCAGGAAUUCGGGAGCAGCUUGGCGGGGUGAUCCUGGCUCUUGGCCAUGUAGACCCCUGCCUCCGACCGCUUGAGUGUCCUCACCACACGAGAGCCAUCAUCCUCAGGAUGAGGAGUCCUUGAGAGCCUGGGAUGGAAGCUGCCGUGUCUUUAUGACCACCUGUCAUUUCCGUGACGUCCUCUUGGCCACACGGAGCCCUGUGCCCCGCGGGAGCGGCCCGUGCAAGGACACCGGCGCCAGGAGUGAGGACCCCGAGGGCCGCCUGGGUGCUGGCUGCCGCGGCGGGUUGAAAGGCGUGUGUAACUUUUGAAGAAAGUGGUGUUUUCCUGCGUGGGCCCCUUCGCUCCCCCCGCUCCCCGCCGGCAGUGUGUGAGCGCCCCGCAGGCCGCUCGGCCUCCCGACACCUGCUUUGAAUCGUAGGUCGGGAUCGCUUCAGAGGUUCGCUUUCGCUGAGCAUAGAAUUCCCGGUUUUUCCUUACUGUCUCUUGGAUGCCUCCGGAAACACGUGCCCCGUUCGCUCCCAGCUCCCUCCGCCUCCCCCGAGGUCAGGAGUCAGGCUUGCUUCUCUCUUGACUUCGUGUUCUUCCUCCGGGUGCCUCCCACGUUUCCCUUUCUCCUUUGGCCUUCCGCUGCCCCCCUUUGGUGUUCCAGGAGAGGCUCUCCUUGUAUUUAUCCUGCCUGGGUUCGUGGUACUUCAGGCACCUGUGGUGUGAUGCCUUUCAAGUUGGACGGUUGUCAACCGUUAUCUCUUCAAUACUGCUUUUGUUCCAUUUUCUCUCCUCGUCUCUCACUGUCACGCGGCUGUUACUGUAGUCUAGAAGUUUCCAUGUCGGUGUCCCAUACUUCUCUGCAUUUUCCAUCAUUCUUUUCCUCAUGCUUCCGUCUAUGUAUUUUUCCUAGCCCUUCAUCCAGUUCAUUAAUCACUUUUUCAUCUAACUAAUCUGAUUUGAAGCCUGCUUAAAGAACCAUGAAGUUCUUGACUUCAGUUAAAGUUCUAGUAUAUCCAUUAAGGUUUGUUUUAGUUUCCCUUUUCUCUGCUGAAAUUGUUAGUCUGGGUUUGGGUUUUUGGUUUUUAAAUUUUAUUUGUUUACUUUAAGUAAUCUCCACACCCGGCAUAAGGCUCCAACUCACGACCCCGACGUCAGGAGUUGCGUGCUCUCCCGGCAGAGCCAGCCAGGGGCCCCUGGGUUUUUGUUUUCUUAAAUGGGCUAGACAUGGUUAUUUUCAAGUCCAUUUUUAAUAACAUAACGCAGUGGAAAGUGUUAUGGAUUAUUGGAGUUGGGUAAUGGAUUCUACUUUUGUGAGUGAGAAUUUUCAUAAUAAAAGUUAAAAAUAAGCAUGUCUGAUAACCAAUCCAUUCUCCAGAUGACCUUCUCUUCGUUGUAUUGAUUGUAGAUCACAGUGACUUAUCCCCUCUUCUGCACAGCAUUUUUUAAAUUGCAUUCCAGACAUUGUUUAUUACAGUUUUAUAAAUAAUUUGAGGCUCUAGUUCAGGGUCAGUAAACUUACGACCCAGGAGCCAAAUCCAGUCACACCAGCUCGUGUACAUACUGUUCAUGGCCGCUCCUGCGCUACAGCGGGAAAGGUGACGAGACCGUGACCAGCAGAACCGCAAACAUUGGCCUUUGACAGAAAAAGGUCACCGGCCCCUGCUCUACAUGUUUUCCGCCAGACUCACAAAUCCAGUCCCUACUUCCGCCUUCUGCUGCCUUCACCCCAAGCCCAGGACUCAGGACCUGGGUGACGGCUUACAGUUUCACAGCCUCCCUGCGGUGUUACCGCGUCUUAUCUUUGCGUGUAUGAUUCCAGCUGCCUGGGCACGCUUACUGUAGAACACGCCUGUAGAUGUUCCGCUUAUCUCGUAACGUGUCAGUCACACUGUUUUCUCGUUGUGGGAGCUCUCCCUGAACACGGCCGCUUGGUCUCUGUUUUGCCAACUUGCCACUUGCUGCAGUGCUCUGUCCUCCGUUCUGCCAGAUUUUACGAGGGUUUACCUGCGCCUUGCCCUAGCCUGAGUCCUCGAAGGCUUUAUUUCUCGGGCCUAACACGGACUGGCCCUCUGGGUGUGUUUUUGAGGGCAUGACAGGAAAGGUGUCCUGCUCCUCGCGUCUUGCACUCCAGAGCUCAUUGCUUCCUCUUUAGAGGGGGACCUGGCUCUCUGAAUUGAGCCCUUCUUUUCCUCUGUCUCCACAGUCUUCAUCCACUCCUAUUCACCCCAGACACACGACUUCCAACUGAAAAGCAUUCUGUCGUUGGAUCUGUGUUCACUUGUUAGCCUCUUAGGACAUGGCGCCUGUCUUCUUCCCUCUCACUGUCCAUCCCGUCAGACCUCAAAGCCAGGAGACAUCCUUGAGCCCUCCUUCAUUUUUAUACUUUAUAUUCAAUCCAUCCGUAAGUCUUGUUUGUUCUUGGUCUUAAAAUACAUUCAUAUCUUUACACUGCCCUUCAUAUCGUCUUAAUUUGAUAGUAUCAAUUGGAUGGUCUUAUUUUUCUUUAAAAAUCUUUAGUGGCUUCCUAUUACCCUGAGAAUAAUAACUAGAAACUUCACUGUGAUUUUUAUCACUUUUUCCUCUCUCACUGCACGGUGGCCACGGCCCUUUCCAAACACCUGUUCUCUCCUGCCUCAGGGCCCUUGCACUUCCUGUUUUCCCCUAUUUGAAAUGUUUUCUUCUUUCCCAAUUUUCACAUGGCUAGAUCUUCUCACGUGUUAGGGUUUAUCCGAGAGGCUUUUCCUACCGUCCGAUCUCAAAUUACCACUUCAAUCACUAUCACCACACGAUGGUUUGAUAUCUUCAUAGUAAGUAAAAUCUUUAAUCGUUCAUCUAUUUAGCUACCUAUUUAUUGUCAGCUCCUACCACACCAGUAGAAGUUCUGUGAGAGGAGAAACCUCAUCUGAAAAGAUCACAAAUGUAUCCCCAGUGCCUAGCCAAUAAUACUUGCUGAGUAAAAAGUUGUUCUUUAAUUACAGGAUUUCUGUAAUUGUGUACUCUUACUGGCUUCUGCCCCAUUAUUCCACUGGAACCCCUGUUUGGAGAGUUGAACGUCAGCUUCCUCUGGCGUCCCGGGACACAGCUCUGAUUCUCCUCCUCCCCACCUCUUGGGGUAGUCUUCUGUUUUGUUUCUCAGCCUCAGUGUCCGGAUUCUGUCGGGCGCCGCAGGCGUAAGGGCUCAGUCCCACCAGGCCACGGGCACUUCCCACGCCAGCUGCAAGUUGUGAGCGCCCACACUUCUGCCCGACGUGGCCAUCACCUCGAGAGUUCCCACAACCGCCCCCGCUUCAGGUUGGAUAACUUGCCAGAACUGUUCACAGAACUCAGGAACAUGCUUUACUUACGUCUACUGGUUUAGUAUAAAGGACACAAACGAACGGCCAGAUGAAGAGGUGCAUAGGGCUGGAAGGGCCUCAAGCAUAGGAGCUUCUUGUCCCGUAACGUUGGGAUACGCCACUAACCCAGCGGCUCUUCGAACCCAGUCGUUAAGGCGUUUUUACAGGGGUCUGAUUACUAGGUGUGAUUCGUUGAAUCACUGGGCACCGGUGAUUAGCUCCACCUGCAGCCCCUCACAGCUCCCCAAGGUUGCGGGAUGAGACUGAAAGUUCCAGCACUCUAGUCAGUAUUUGGUCUUCGUGGCAACCGGCGCCUCCCUCCCUGGUCCCGGGACAGUGUCGGAGCCGCCAGGAGUCACCUCCUGAGAACUAAAGACACUCCUGUCGCUUUAGAAAUUCCAAGAGAUUUAGGGUAUUUGUAUCAGAACCUGAUGACAAAGACCAGAUGUAUGUUUCUCAUUAUACCUCAUUCGCCUAUGCCUCAUUGGCAUCCCAGAAAGGGGGAAAAGAAUGGAACGAAAGAAGUAAUUCAAAAGAUAAAGGGCAAGAACUUUCCAAGAUUGAUGAAAGUGACCAAUAUGUAAAUACAAAAAUAUCUCUAAACUGUAACCAGGAUAAAUACAAAACAAACCGUAGCCUAGAUACGCUGUAGUCACACUGCUCAAAACCGAAGAGCAAAUCUUAAAAGCGAUCAGAGGGGGUAUUAAAAAAACACAGUCUAUGUGGGAGAACGGCGAUAAGAGUUAUCACCGACUUCUCAACAGAAACACAGAGGACGGAAGACAGUAGUAUGGCAUCUUCAGGUUGGGGGGUGCAGAGGGGGACCUGCCAAGCAAAAAUUGUACAUCCGGCAAAAUUUUUUCUCAAAACUAAAGGUGAAAUAAAGACAUUUUCAGACCAGACCCGGGCCAGAAGAAAUGCUGAAAGAAAUUCUAAAAAGACUACUGGCUUUAAAAAUAACAAUUACUAUAUUUAUUUAUAACAUCUGAAGAAGUGUAAGGCAGCAAGAAUACAGUAGGUGGGAGGGGGAUUCGUUGAAUUACACCACCCUAGAUCAUGAGUUGUUCGUCAAAUAGCAUAUUAUGUGGAAAUACGCCAAAAUUUGCAGUCACAUUAUAAUCUCUCGAGAAACCGUUGAGUAAAUGGUCACACAGAAAGAAAGAAAGCUAGAAAUUCCAUACAGGAGAAAAAACGAGAAUGAAAAAAGUGAUUUAUCCAAAAGAAGGCAGAAAAGGAGCGAAGAGACAAAUGCCAAAAUGGGAAAUACCGCCAGCCAUCUAAAUGACUGCAUUAAAUGUCAGGUUUCUUGUUCCUAGCAUUUAUAUAUUUUCUAGAUGCCACAGAGUGUUCUACAUUUUUGCGUACACUAUCGUGUUUGUAAGUAUGUACAGUUUGGCAGUUUUUACCGUCUUUGUGCCUUCUUUUUUCUCUUUGUAUUGGCGAGACGCUCCGGCCAGAUGUUGGGUAGUAGUAGUGAGGGCGGGCAUCCACGCCUCGUCCGUAGAGCAUGGCCACGGUUAGGAUGGAUGUGGACCAGCCAGAGCUUGAUGCAUUGCUGGUGGGAGUGCACGCGAUGCACCUGCUUUGAGGGACUCUCUUUUCAUAGAAGUGAAACGUGCAUCUACCCUGUGACUCCACAGAUGCCCUCUUAGGUAGUUACCCAAGAGAAGUUGACGUACAUCCCUCCAGAAAGACCUGUGCAAGAUGUCUUAUUCAUAGAAGCCAAAAACUUGAUAUUUGGAGAAUAUCCCAAAUAUCCCUCAACAGGAGAAUGGGGAGAGUGGUGUAUCCAUCAGCGGAAUACCAAACAGCAAUAAAGAAUUAACUA